rnacentral:tRNA from 1 species
CAGGGAGACAACAAAAUGUUUAAUAUUAUUAUUUUGUCACCUUAGGUCGAUCGGUAUCUCACAUUUUUAAUUUAUUAAGAAUUUCAUUUCCUAAGUUUUUCUAGGUCACACCCAUCAUUUUUCCUGGGCCAUUAGCUCAGGUGGUUAGAGCGCACCCCUGAUAAGGGUGAGGUCCCUGGUUCAAGUCCAGGAUGGCCCAUAUCUCUAUGUUGGGGGUAUAGCUCAGUUGGUAGAGCGCCUGCUUUGCAAGCAGGAUGUCAGCGGUUCGAGUCCGCUUACCUCCACUGAUUACCACCUCUUCCAUACCCGGUAGAAAGGAAAUUUUUUGAGUCGUGACAAAAUUCUGAAAGAAUCUAGCUUCCUAAUGUAACCAUUAAGAUGCUGGACUCAUUGAAUUAAUUUCAUUGUUUUCAGAGAACCUUGACAACUGCAUAGAUUAUUUUUAAAGACAAUAAGCAUCUUUAAUGAUGCAGAUUUAUUAUUUUUGCGAAUGCAUUAAUAACAAUUCUAUUAAGCUGAUGCUUCAAUUUUUGAAGUUAUU